UACGUAGGGGGCGAGCGUUGUCCGGAGUUACUGGGCGUAAAGCGCACGCAGGCGGUCUGCUAAGUUUGGAGUGACAGUUGGUGGCUUAACUGCCAAAGUGCUUCGAAAACUGACAGGACUUGAGGGCUUCAGAGGGACACGGAAUUCCGGGUGGAGUGGUGAAAUGCGUAGAGAUCCGGAGGAACACCAAAGGCGAAGGCAGUGUCCUGGGGAGUACCUGACGCUCAGGUGCGAAAGCCAGGGGAGCGAACGGG
rnacentral:rRNA from 1 species